rnacentral:rRNA from 1 species
UACGUAGGUGGCGAGCGUUGUCCGGAAUUACUGGGUGUAAAGCGCGUGUAGGCGGGAGGCCAAGUCUGUGGUGAAAUCCCACGGCUCACCCGUGGAACUGCUGGGCAUACUGGCGAUCUUGGGCCAACUAGGGGCAACUGGAACAAGCGGUGGAGCGGUGAAAUGCGUAGAUAUCGUUUGGAACGCCAAUGGUGAAAACAGGUUGCUGGGAGUGCGCUGACGCUGAGACACGAAAGCCAGGGGAGCGAACGGG